rnacentral:ncRNA from 1 species
AAAUAAGUUGAGUUUGAUGAUGGCUCUGAGUGAACGCUGUCCAAAUGCUUGACACAUGCUAAUCGUACGACUUCGCUCAUAAAAAAAAAGAGCGAAGCAGUGGUGUACAGGUGAGUAUAAGAUAACGUGACUGCCUUGGAGUAAGGAGAAAGAUCCCUUAUAAUAAUAAAGAAACUAAGGUUUCGCUCUUAGAAGCAUGUAUCUCGUGUAGUUGUAGUAGUUAAAGUAGUGGUUUAACUAGCCUUAUACACGUAGUCGAAACUGAAAGGUUGAUCGAUCACAGUGGGACUGAACAAAUCCCACGAUUAUUAUCACAGCAGUGAGGAAUAUUGGUCAAUAGCCUAACGGCUGAACCAGCAAUUUGGAAGAAUGUAUAGCAAUAGCUGAUUGCACCAACAAACAGUUGAUGCAAAAUUGAUUAUAUCAAAUAAAAUUCUAGGUAGAUUUUUGAUAAUGACAUUGCUUACCUAAGUCUUGACCAAAUUACGUGCCAGCAGUCGCGGUAAUACGUAAAAGACUAGUGUUAUUCAUCUUUAAUUGGUUUAAAGGGUACCUAGACAGCGAAUAAAGCCAUAGUAGGGACUAAUUCGCUAGAGUUACUUAUGAGGGGGUAUUAAAGUACUGCAGGUGUAGAGAUGAAAUUUUGUUAUACCUCUUUUCGUAUGAGAAACUAUGGCACAGGUAUAGGUGAAAGCAUCCCCUUAUGUGAUAACUGACGUUGAGGGACGAAGGCUUUGUGUCGCGAACAGGAUUAGAUACCCCAGUAGUCAAAGCAGAAAAUGAUGAAUGUCAUAGAUUAGAUAUACAAUUUAUUCUAUAAAUGAAAGUGUAAGCAUUCCACCUCAAGAGUAAUUUGGCAACAUUGGAACUGAAAUCAUUAGACCGUUUCUGAAACCAGUAGUGAAGUAUGUUUAUUUACAAGCGUUGCACGGCUGUCUUCAGUUAAUGUCGUGAGAUUUUGGUUAGUUCCAUUAAAUUAACGUAAACCCUUACUUUAUUUUUAUAUAAAGUAGUUCCCCGCUAUAUUGGAUAUGAUAACAGGGACUAAGACAAGUCAUCAUGGCCUGAAUAUUGUGGGCUAUAGACGUGCCACAUAAACCUUACAAAAGGAUGUGAAAUUGUGAAAUUGAGCUAAUCCUCCAAAAAUGGAUAAACAUUUAAUGGAUUGCAGUCUGUAACUCGACUGCGUGAAAAAGGAAUUACUAGUAAUCGUGUAUAAGUACGGCACGGUGAAUAUAAUCUCAGAUAGGUACUAACUACUCGUCAGGCGCUGAAAAAAGUAUGUGCAAUAAGUUUGGCUAGUGCUUAUUUUUAUUUUGGGCGAUCUUGUCCAAAAACUUAGGCAUGUUGUCUUCGUAUGCGUGACUUUGAUUGGUGUUAAGUCGAAAUACGGUUCGUGUAGUGGAAAUUGCACGGGAUUUAUGUAUAUUAAAA